CUGGUCUCUCAGUCGCUGCCUCCUAUUAUUGCUGUAACAGGAUGGACUGUGCUGCUUUAAGACACAGUCAAGACACACACAUACUGAACACUGUCCUCUCCAUUUUGCUCUCUUGGUUACGUUAAAGGAAUGAACCAAUGAAAACGGUCUAACACAGUGCACUCUGGACACGGUAUGGAGUUAUAAUUAAUCCAAUUGGAUAAAUGCCUGAUUUUACUACAGACUAAAUUGGAAAAGUGGCCCUUGCAGUGUCACACAUGUUGGCUCACAUAUUGCAAAUCAUGUUAGCCUGUACAAAUGGCUGAUAGAGAUCUCAUUCUUUCGUUUGCAUAAUUCCAGAUUUGUUGUGCUUGAAUAGAAUUUGAGGCUUGCACCCCUAUCUACAGCAUCCCUGCGUGCACAACGUCUGGGGAAUUUGCAUGAUUGCCUGUAGAUUAUUUGAACAUUAUCUAUUCCCCCUCCUCUUUUUCUUAUUUCUUUGGCUCUCUGCUGUGAGGAUGCACACACAUCCUUGGGCAAAAGAAUCUAAAAUAGAUCAUACAAGCAACUGGAGUAGAUGCACAGGCACAGGAAGCAGCUCACGGGCAGACUUGAGUCAUGCUGGCAAGAUCAUGCACCCUGAGCUGACAGCCCAACACACCCGAUUACCAAGCACGUCAUUUGUAAAAUGCAGCCGCAGCCUCACUAUAGGUCGUAAACAAGGGGCAAAAUAUUGAGAUCCAACUCUUGAUUUACCUGUAAAUGACUCUUGAAUGUGGUAUGGAUUGAGUGAGUGCAGGGUUGAGACUGACCUGAUGAGCGUCUCUGGCUCCAGCAAUUGUGGCUCAUUCAUUGUGUCAUGUGGACUGCUGGCAAUGGCAUAACCUUUGUGGAGGGAAGGGAAGACAACACGGUCACUCUGGAUAACAGUCUUGCAAUGAACAGAAACAGAGCCUGUCAGGCCAUCUCAACAUCAGUUUUCAGCUGCACACCACCACCACCACCAACACACUCUACCAAUCACUUUCCUCACUUCCUCCUUCCAUCAGUUAAGACAGCUCCUUCUUGAUAAGGCCCUCUUGUGUGGCGUGCAUGUUACAUUGAUUUAACAGGAUCCUAUUAACACAUUUCUACUUUACAUCCCCUCUAUGUUUGGUGUUGCCUCAGCUCCAUCUUUGACCUGUUUUGCGCAAAUUUGGCCUGCCGAAUGGCCGUAUGGUGCUUGACACAGCCAGUGAUUUUCUACUGAUACAGUUGGCUUAAAUUUCAUACUUGUAUAUAUUAUGGAUUGAUUUGUAAAUGAUUGAUUUAAAGGGCCAUCUGCUGCACAAUAGCAGGACUGUGCUGCCGUUUUGUUGUUCCUUCAAGAUAAUGAGUUGCUUCCAAUUAGGACAUACAAAUAAUAGGCUAAUAUUUCUUGUUAGCUAGAGACCAUAUUUUUUCCUACAAGAUCAGGACCCCAUAUAAUUAUCCAAAUUUCCUCUCUUAACAACAGGCGGAAAAGGAUGUGUAUUGAGACAGUGGGUUUUGGGCACUGAGCAGCAGAUAAAUGUUUGAAACAUCACUAAGGGGCAUUCUCAUGUCUCAUUAUGAGGCUUGUUAGGGCCUACAUUACAGCUGCUUGACUGAGCAGUCUUAUUAAGGAAAGUGACCCAACACCAAUAUGAGCAGCAAUGUUUCUCCUCUCACAUCCAUCUACUACUGUCUUCCAUGGCCCUAUCUCUUUCCUCUUGUCUGUCUGCCCCCCCCCCCUGCACAGCACCCCACCACCACUACCACCACCACUCCCCCCGUGUGUUUGGCAGUCACACAGUCGGCCAUGUGUGUGCUGAAGACGUUACAUAAUGCCCUCCUUUCACUGCACUCUAGAUCAAAGAGAACAAUCCAGCACAGAAAAAGUGCUCCUUGCUGAUUUUUCUUCUCUUCCACCAUGACAUUGUUUUACCAGACUUCAGUACCCAGAGACUGUACAGUAGACUGCAUUAUUAUCUGCUUCAGCAUUCCCCUUCAUGUUGAAAACCAAACAGAGCAAAUGGAUAAUGAUCAGAGGUUCACUGUAAAAAAAAAAAAAAAAAAAAAAAGGCAACUAGGUUAGACCAGACAGGCAAGACGUGACAAAGAUGCUUCAGGCAUAGAGAUCUUACACCUCACUUUUUUUUUUUGAUUAAUUUACUUGCUUCGUUACACGCGUAUGCAGGGACGUCAACUUUAACCCAGUCAGAAAAAAAAACAUCAAGAAGGUGACGGGCAGAGAUUGAUUUUAAUAAAAGAAAAUUGAGUUGCCUUACAGAAAAGCUACAAAAAUAUUUAAUUCAUUGUAGCUUUGUCAUUAUUAUCCACAGGGGCCUUCCUCUUUUACAUAAGGAAAAACACCCUUAAAAACUGAUGCAGUUAUGAUGAAAUCAGUAUUGUGGAAGGGUUUCCACUCAGCAUUUUACAGAAUUCUCUUUUAAUUUCUAUGUGUGAACAAGCAGAAUGAUUGGCGCUGUUACAAAGUAACCUAAUGUGAUGAAAUGUUCCACCACAUGUGCUCACACAAAGCCAGGUAGCCUUGAUAAAAUGAAAUUAAUAGCAAAAGGGAAAAAAAAAAAAAAACAAACCCUCUCUCCAUCAAGUGGAAGAAAUGGUGACACAGAAAAAGAGAGAGCAUGAGAGAAUCAAAUGCUGUCAGAGAGGCCGGGCCUGUCCGCAGCCUUGGGAGGAUUGAAAUAAUGAGUGUGUGCUGGGGGAACAUUUACCUCCAAUGCCAAAUGUAGGCAGCACAUUUUGGGACCAAGGGGCACAAAUGACAAAAUAAAAAACAGGGGGGAAAAAGCUGAGCCUUUAUUGUGCAAUUUUGAGAGAAUAGAUCCUCUGAAGGAGGGACAAACUUGUUUAGCUGUUGUACAGUGGUGUACAAUAAUCCAAUAGGAUGACAUAAGUUAUAUUUGGUGCAUGUAGGUUAUAUGCACCAUUGUCUCUGACUAAGUAUCUCCACAGUGAACCUCAGCUGAUGUAGAAGUAUUUGAUUCCCUCCUAAGAGCUGGGAUCAGCAGCAGUCCUUAUCUCUAAACUCCCCCAGUGAUGGAGAGUGGUUCACUGGUCUGAGGGAGCAGAGCAGUGGGGUUAUCUCUGGCCCUCAGCCUGGGGGAAUGUGCAGGUGAACCAGGAAUAAAAGCAUCUUAAGGGCACAGCACAUGCUUGCAGUAGUGCAUAGCAGACCGUGAGCUGUGCGGCUGCAGCAUCAAAUGAAUUGUUGGAGAAUGGGAGAGGGCAAGGCUUCAGAGUGGGUUUGGCGCUCAAACUGUUAUCACACCUGACAGUGUCUGGUUUGGGAUCCAGUGGUGCACGCGGCAUACGUAAGCGGCUGGUCAUCUGUAAGGCAGAGUGAUAGGGUGUGACGUGUCACACGCCACAUUAGGCUCUGCCAGAGGAUGUGUUUGACAGACCACAGGAACUUCACUCCAGCACACUGCUUUGCCUCCACUCAUAUUGUCAGACCUACUUGAUAGUUCCAAGCUCACAUCUGGGGUCUUAUUUAUAGAAUAUCGACUUGAAUUUCUUCCUUGAUUUAUCCAGUGUUCAUAUAUGAAUAUGAUGAAAAAAUAAAAUAUAAAGGGCAGCCAUUGAUUAACGUGGAAAUUAUUUCAAUGUAUUUUAAUACAUUGUAAGACACUGAAGAAGAUUUUGACAAAACUCAAACCAUCAAACGCAUUUUUACUGUAACAUAGAUGUUUGUGGUAUCACAUUUACACUGUUAUACCUAAUGUAUUAUUAAUAAUGAAUAACAAUUUCAAUAUCGUUUUUACUUCAUUGUGAUUCAAGUUUAAAAAAAACUCCCUCAGUUUAAAUUGAACACAAGUAGGCCAAGCAAUAGUGCACCACACAGGUAGCACAAUGUAAAGAAUUGUAGAGAUAUAACGUUCUCUUUGUGUCUUCACUGCCAUCUUUGACACAACCAAAAGAAAUGUGUGCAGUAAAUGAUACACAGUAAGUAAAUAACUGACUAAACUACAGGAAUGUUAAAGGUUUUAUACACAUAACCAUAAAAACUGAUAUGCCUCUUCAACUUUCUGGCAUUGUGACACAUCAGUAUGUGAUUUAUUGUAAAUAAUUUAUGCAUUUCCAAUUCAGAGUACAUGUCUUUCCCUUAAACUGUCAUGUGAAUCUGGGAUAUAAAGUCCUAUCCACAUAUCGCACGACAAAUGAUGUGUGGGACCAAGUUGGGACAUCUCCAAGCAUCCACUGACUUACAGCUAAGAACCAGUGCUUUGACAGACAAUCACACAUUAGAGAGAGGAAGUCUGGAGCACACAGUAUAAACAAAGCUUUUAAUAAGGUGCAGGAGCUAAUGUUCAGACAUAUGGGUUUUUAAUUUUCAGUAAACUUUUCUGUGUUUACUAUGACAUCUUGUAUGUCGACACAUUUGUUUCUGCGGCUAAAAAUGCUUGUUUCAUAACUGCUCUAAGUGAUGUGUGAGCUUUCAGUGCUCUAUGUCCAGUUUAUCUGAAGGACAAAUUGGAUAAAUGGGAUUAACACAAAUGUAAAUCACGUCCAAAUUUUCUUUGUUUUUAACCAGUUGUCAUGAAACAAACUGAACCAGCAUCAUCUAACUGAAGUCAAAUUUAUCAGACUCCGGAGUGUUAAAUGAUCCUCUGGAGAAGCCAUUAUUAAGGCCACUCAAGAUGCUUCCUUAGACCUAUAGUGACAAUAAGGUUUGUAGAAGAACCAAAAUGUGUGUGUUUGACAAAACUCAAAAUGAUCACAAUAUGUAGCUGUCAUGUACUGUGGUGUAAUGACGUUUUUUGGUACUCAGCCAAAAAGUGGCAAUAGAGGAAUUUUGAAAUUUGCAUAUGGGUACAGUGAGGACAUGUGUCUCUACUGAGUAGAGCUGCAUUCUUUCACACUUGAAAGACUGGAUUUUUUAUCUUUUCUUUUUUUAAAUUCUCAAAAUGCUGGCCAAAUGUAUUGGCUGAAAUUGACAACGCUGUGUUUGUUGGAUCCAUCUUGACCUAGGACUUAAAGGUCCAGUAUGUAGGAUUUAGUGGCAUCUAGCAGUUGUAUUUAUUAAAACAUACUUAUAAAUAUUAUAUUCCAUUUCUGCUAAUAGCUCCUCCUAAAUGUUACACACUGGACCUUUAACAGACUGUUUGUUUUUGUUAGGCAAUGUUAAAAAGUUACAGGCCUUGUGUGGCUUUGGACUUUGCACUGAUGGUGGUGCCACUGGAACGCUUAUAAAUGUGAGCUCAGGUACAAUGGAGACUUGUGCAUCUGCUGACUAACUUGGAGUAUUGUUAGACUGACCUGCCCAGUGGCUAAGACCAUAAAUGAGGAGGCAGAGACAUGAGAUAAAGCAAAUCCCAGAUACCGGUAUUUAUUUACAGCUAUGUACAUGUGAGCAUAGCAUGCAGCUGCAAGCCGCAGCACUACUUGGGAUCAUCCACCAUAACCACUAUUACCUCCCGAGCUGGCGCAAAGGGCAGCCUUUUAUACUACCCACCCUUGGGUGCUACCAAGAAGAGGGGUACACUAGGGUGCCCCAUUUUACAUACAACAUCUACAUUCGAAAAAACACACAUAUACAUAACAACAAAUACUCCCAUUACAUCAACUAAGCCCUUUAUACUUCAUUUAAAAACCCCGCAACAAACCUAGAAAACAUAAGCCUGAUAUAUACUCCCCACCCCUUACACAAUCCUAUCCAGUUGAACUCUCCGGAACGAUAAAGAGGCGCUUGUUUCUCCGGGGACUCUUUUAAUCACGCACCCUAUGAGUGCAGGGACAGGAGAGCACAGGUGGCGCGGCCAUUCCAACCAGCCGGUCAUCCGGAACAAACACCACAUUGCAUACCGAAAGUACACACUACUGUUAAGCAGACCUCUCAAUAAAGGUUUUAAACGUAAUAAUGGCUUGCCUCGUCAUUAUGUUAAUCAUGUGCCAUUUUUACUGCGUAAAUACUGCAUUAUCACGCGUUACUGUGCAACAUAUAGCAUGCUGUGCAAAUAUGCUUUGCCAAUAAGGAAGCUCUAGAGAGCAACGUAAGGAGAUUUAGAGGCCCUCUCUUACAAGUAUGAAAAUUUGUUAACAUAAUAAAUUUAAUCAUUAUACAUUUAAUGAAAAUUGCAUCAACGUUGUAGGAGAAGAAUCAAAAACGUGUUUGACAAAACUGAAGUAGCUAAAUGAAUUGGGGGGGGGGAUUGAACUUGACCUAAACAACUGAUCCAAAAUAUAAGGUUGACCUUUGGAUUGAGACUCGAUGCAUCACUGUUCUUUAAACAAACAACUUGCCCAUAAUUGAAACUGCUGAAUCUACUAUGUUCUAAGUGUAAAUUCCUUCAUUAUGUGAUUAUGUAGGAGGAAGUUAAGCAAAAUAGAAAAAAAAUCGCAUAAACCAUGUACCAUAUGCUUUAUUUCCAUUGAUUUGUAAUUUUUAAAAUAUGUUUCAGAUGUGAUACCUUCUGUAAGGGCUUAAAAAAAAUAGAGCAUAAUUUCAAAAUAAAAUACAUAAAAUAAGCACUGAAUAAGGAAAUAUGUGAGUUUAAUCAGGAAUCAUUUGAUAUGAAAUAUCAGAUCACGCUUUGUAUUUGUCAUGUUUAAAAUCUUCUGUAUACAAAUGUCAACAUCUUAUGUGCUGCUGAAUAGAAGUAUGUUCUGUCAUUCAGACAGGUUCUUUCAUUCAGACAAGUGUCUUAAUGAGGUAACAACAGUGAUUGCACUCUGUUUGCUCCACUGUUUGGCUCUAUCUUGACCUCAUUGACCCCUGCUGUGUCUCUCAGCCCUGCAGUGUGCAGGCUGCUCUCGGGGCAUCUUACCUGUCACUGUUUCACUCAGGGGAGGGAGAGAGCAGAGCUCAGGUGCCUGAGGAGGAAGGACAGACUGGGCAGGCCACUGUGGCCCUGCCUGGUCUGGCUCACUCAUCAGUGAGCACAGUUCCCAAACCCCUCUGACAGAUCGGAAUAGAAAGCAUGCUUCACAUCAUAGCUAUGAUUCACUGCAGUCCCAAGUCCAAGCGUGCCCUGAAGUCCCUCAGACCUCUUAAAUCAUAGUGUGUAUGUUCUUUAAGGAAGUGAGACAGACUGGGAAUGAAUGAGCUUGUUUGCAUAUGACAGUGCUUCCAUAAAAGUUUCCCAUGUGUUUUCUAUGUGUCAGAAAGAGUAAACUGCAUAUUAACAGGCCUUCAAAAUAUCUCCCAGAGCACAGCACUGUACGUGUCUCAUGUGUUUGUUUUUGGUUUGUAUUUGAGGGAGGGGGGUAUUUAUGCAUGUAGGUCGGCUUAAAUAUCUAUUUUAUUCUGCAUAGUCAUAAUGUGCAGUCAAGCACAUAGCUACGAGUGAAAAUGUCAUGCAAUAGUAGGGAUAAUGCAUGCAAAGCACGUGUGGGGGUCACAUUUGUAUAUAACGAUGUGCCAAAAGUAAUCAAAUCAAGAUUUGUUUGAACACACGCUAGACAAUGAAACUGUGAUUCUUGCCUACAGUGUAUAUACCAAUCGUUUGUCAUGUGUCAGAAUAAAAAAAAAUCAGUGACACAAUCCAUCA